rnacentral:rRNA from 1 species
AUUGAACGCUGGCGGCAGGCCUAACACAUGCAAGUCGAGCGGAUGAAGGGAGCUUGCUCCUGGAUUCAGCGGCGGACGGGUGAGUAAUGCCUAGGAAUCUGCCUGGUAGUGGGGGAUAACGUCCGGAAACGGGCGCUAAUACCGCAUACGUCCUGAGGGAGAAAGUGGGGGAUCUUCGGACCUCACGCUCUCAGAUGAGCCUAGGUCGGAUUAGCUAGUUGGUGGGGUUAAGGCCUACCAAGGCGACGAUCCGUAACUGGUCUGAGAGGAUGAUCAGUCACACUGGAACUGAGACACGGUCCAGACUCCUACGGGAGGCAGCAGUGGGGAAUAUUGGACAAUGGGCGAAAGCCUGAUCCAGCCAUGCCGCGUGUGUGAAGAAGGUCUUCGGAUUGUAAAGCACUUUAAGUUGGGAGGAAGGGCAGUAAGUUAAUACCUUGCUGUUUUGACGUUACCAACAGAAUAAGCACCGGCUAACUUCGUG